UGUCCAUCUGUGCAGCGAUGUGACGUGAAGGGCCAGGCAUCCUCAGCUCUUAUAUUGAGAGAAUUGCUCUUCUACUGGUAGUGAAGAGUGGACGGAAUACAGUAUGAAGACCAAGCUUUUCUUUUUGAUAUCUAUUGGUAAAUAAGAGGUAAAGGUGGGGUUAUCAAUUCCAUAGUACCAGAUCAGGUAGUGCAUGCUAAACCCCAAAUAGGUAACCUGCCUCCUUUCUAUACAUUAUGCACUUUAUAUAAACACAACUAUAUACAGUAAUAGUGGGUUAUAUACCCCGGUGAAAAAUUCCAAACAGUUUAUAUGUCGUAUAAAAUUAUUUAUUAAAAAUAGAUUAAUCAGUCCAUACUAAAAACAACUCUUAGAAACUUGACAAGAAACUGCCUACUCAACAAGAUUUCAAAGUAGAUUGAUUCAUAGAAUAUACAGUAAAUUGCAAAUAAUUAUAAAGUGAUUAAAAUAAUUUUAUAUGUUAAAUUUGUUAAAAAAAACAGGUACUAGAACAGGUGAGUGAUGCAAACAAUGUAGACAAAUAACAGUACAGGGGCAACACUGCACUCCAAGUACACUAAUCUUAACAUAAGUUAAAAAUAUCAAUGAAUGACUAGAUCUGUAUUUGUAAAAUUAUAAAAGAGCUUAAGUUUAGGUGCAGGUCUAAUGAACCAUCAUAAAGACUCCAGCUCUGACAGACACUGUAAUUGAUCCUCUUCAAGCUCAGUCAGUUUCUGGCCUACUGCUCCAACACGCGUAGUCAGCUCUGCAAUCUUUUAAAAAUACUUAUUUAUUUACUAAUAAUGAAUCAUAUGUCUUUGUGAAAGAAACACACUGUAGUACAGUAAAGUAGAAUCGCCUUAUUUCGAACUAAAGAGCAGAAAGGGGGUUAGAAAUACAGUACCUGAUAUUUAAAAAAAGGAGAGGAUUUUAUUACUCAAUAUUGCAUAAAUUUGAAAUACUUUCCUAGAAUGAUAAAAUUUCAUUAAUGCUUAUCAUACAGUGAAACUCCCAUAUACCCGUAAUGGAUUUCUCGCCACAAUCCAUUAAAUGAAGGUUUCACAUCUACUGGACCCUUGAUCUAAUGGACUCUUCCAUAUAGUCCGUUAAAUGGAGGUUUUACUGUAGGGUUUAUCCUAAAAUUACUGGAUUACUGAAACGAGAAUAAUUUCAAUAUAUUUUGUCCAUAAAUAUGCAUACUGUACUGUAUUAGGUUAAGGUCAGAUGGGUUUCUUGGUAACCAUGGCUGUACUGUGCAUUGUGCUCCUUCUCUGAUGUCACGGCAACUGACUGCAAAGCCUCUGUUCAGAUCUCUAGAUUCACCUCUUAAAAGUAGCUUUAAUCGUAUACUUUAAUAUUAAAACUUAAAACUGUAGGUACAUAAACAUAAAAACAAAACAUAUAAAUUGCAACAAUGAAAGCAUGUCAGUAACAGCUAAAAUUGGGGGAGGGCUUUGUUCUUGUAUGGCAUGCUAGAUAUUUCAAUAUAGUACAGUACUGUAACAAGAAAUCCAUUAAGCUAUAUAAAUUUAUGUAUCGUGCUGGGUAGAAGCAAGGCAUGUAAAAAGCAUGACUGAUGAUUACAAUAACACUGAAAUACAGUACAGUUCAUUAAAUGGAAGUGUUUUGGAACAUCUUAAGAAAAAACUUCAAAAUGGACUUUUCACCAUUAUGUUACUGUGCCAUCAGAGAUUCACAAUUUGCCAACUUAUACGUUGUCCACAAUAUGUCUGAUUUAUGAAAAUUGAUAAACAAAUAGUACUUGAUAUUAGAGUGUACAGCACUAUACAAUAUAUCGAUGUACAGUACAUGGGAUUUGCCAUGUUAAUUAUAUGUAAAUUGCAUUGGUUUAACUCCAAAAAAGGUUUCAAAAUCAAAGGAUUUGCAGGCAACAUUUGUGGUUGUUAGUUUGUGUGGCACCAGUUGUUUCAUGGCACCUGACCAAUUGUGAUACUGUGGAUCCACUCACCCCCAGUUCUGUGUAACACAUCUUAUUACCUGGCAUCCUAAUGGUUAUAAUAUAUAGAUAAGAGAUAAAAAUUUGCAUAAAAUAUUUUAUUGCACUAGUAUACAUAAAUAGUGUAAUGUAACACAUUUUUAUCAUUUAGUAAUCUAAUGCCGUAACAUAACACUAAUAUGAAAUAAUGGAAAUUUCAAAA